rnacentral:rRNA from 1 species
CUGCAACUCGACUGCGUGAAGGUGGAGUCGCUAGUAAUCGCGGAUCAGCAACGCCGCGGUGAAUGCGUUCCCGGGCCUUGUACACACCGCCCGUCAAGUCAUGAAAGUGGGCAGCACCCGAAGACGGUGGCCUAACCCUUGUGGGGGGAGCCGUCUAAGGUGAGGCUCGUGAUUGGGACUAAGUCGUAACAAGGUAGC